rnacentral:lncRNA from 1 species
GAUGCCCAACCAUCGGAUAUCAAACGAGCUUAUUAGAGAUAUUUUACAGAGCCUUGACUAUCAGUUAUAGAGCCAUGUCAGACACAAUCUCUAGAAGAGCUUUUAUGAGACUUCGAUAGAAGGCAUCUCUGAAGAUACUAGAUCAGAUCUCUCUUACUAACUAAGGGUGGAAAACUCGCGAGGGAGAGAGGAUCUGGGAUAUAUACUAUUGGUGCCUCCC